UACGUAGGCAGCGAGCGUUAUUCGGAAUUAUUGGGCGUAAAGGGCGCGUAGGCGGCCAGGCAAGUGGAAGGUGAAAUCCCUCGGCUUAACCGAGGAACUGCCCUCCAAACUGCUUGGCUUGAGACCGGGAGAGGUGAGUGGAAUUCCCAGUGUAGCGGUGAAAUGCGUAGAUAUUGGGAGGAACACCAGUGGCGAAGGCGGCUCACUGGACCGGUACUGACGCUGAGGCGCGAAAGCGUGGGGAGCAAACAGG
rnacentral:rRNA from 1 species